rnacentral:sRNA from 1 species
GCCGGGUGUGGUGGCACACACCUAUAAUUCCAGCAACUUAGGAGGCUGAGGCAGAAGAAUUGUAAGUUCAAGGUCAGCCCCAGCAACUUAGUGAGGCCCUGAGCAACUUAGUAAGACCUGUCUCAA